rnacentral:rRNA from 1 species
GACGGGGCCCGCACAAGCGGCGGAGCAUGCGGAUUAAUUCGAUGCAACGCGAAGAACCUUACCAAGGCUUGACAUACACCGGUAACGCCCAGAGAUGGGUGCCCCUUUGUGGUCGGUGGACAGGUGGUGCAUGGUUGUCGUCAGCUCGUGUCGUGAGAUGUUGGGUUAAGUCCCGCAACGAGCGCAACCCUCGUCCUAUGUUGCCAGCGGGUCAUGCCGGGGACUCAUGGGAGACUGCCGGGGUCAACUCGGAGGAAGGUGGGGAUGACGUCAAAUCAUCAUGCCCCUUAUGUCUUGGGCUUCACGCAUGCUACAAUGGCCGGUACAAAGGGCUGCGAUACCGCGAGGUGGAGCGAAUCCCAGAAAGCCGGUCUCAGUUCGGAUUGGGGUCUGCAACUCGACCCCAUGAAGUCGGAGUCGCUAGUAAUCGCAGAUCAGCAUGUCGCGGUGAAUACGUUCCCGGGUCUU